AAAGCUGGGCCAUUUUGCUGCACGUGUAGAGCACCCUGGGAAGAUCUCCACGUCGCUGUGUGCUCCUGGGCUUCCUGCUGGCUCCAGCACUGCUAUCCAGCCUGACAUCCAGCUGCACUGGAGCAGCUCGACUUCCUGGGAGGACCAAUGUUUCAGAUUCAGGUGGAACCAGAAUCUGCCUUAUCUACACACUCGACCGGAAGCCACCAUUUGUUCCUCCAUCGGAAUCAUGUUUGUCUCUCUGCCCAGCUGCCCGUGGAUCCUCCACUAAAUAAACAAGGCAGAAACAGGGUGCCUUGUCACUCCCAAUCGUUGACUAAUGUCUCAGAGAGCAACAGAGGCCAGGUCAGGGGUGAGGAGUGGGUGUGUGGCUGCAGAAACUUGCAAGCGAGGCCUCGUCUGCUGCGUAACUGGGUCAACACCUCCACCUCGGCCUCAGCCCACGAUUUGCAUGGACCAGAUCAGCCAGAGACUGGCGACGAAACCUUUGGGGAACCAAGAGGACUAGGGCAGCAAGAAGCAGGAAGAGGGGAGAAAACGUGUGUUCGGGAGUCAGAGAUGCGAGACGGCAUCUUGACUUUGCCACUUAGCGGUCAUGUGACCCUGGCAAGUUCCUCAGCCUCUCUGGCUCUCAGUUUCCUCACCUGUGAAGUUGGAAUUUCAGUGCGUUUCUCACAGAGUUGUUAUGAAGAGCAAAUAGACACCACAGCUGAAUGCAAUGUAUGAACCUUGAUUGGAUGCUGGUUUGAAAAAAAAAUGGGGAAAUUUAAAUAUGGUCUCUAUCAUAUCACCUAUUAUGGAGUGACUUUUUGCCUCCUGGCGUAGGAAUGGUAUUGUACUUAUGUAGAAUACUUGUGUUGGUAGGGGAUAGAUGCUUAAGUAUUUAAGGGUGAAGUUUCACGUGGUCUGCGUGCACUCAAAUGGUUCAGCAGCAACAAAAAGUAUGUUUGCGUGGAGAUAAAGACAAAGCAAAAAAGGGGAAUGCUCAUUGUUGAAUCUAGUUGGAGGGUAUUCAAGUGUUCACUGUUUAUUCUUUCCGUUUUCCUUAAGGUUUAAAAUUUGUCAAACAAAAAUUGGGGGAGAAAAAGAAUAAAUGAGACGAGGUAUGUCCA
rnacentral:lncRNA from 1 species